GCAUUAAUGGGGUAGUGGUAACCUGGGUCGUUGCCAUUCGAAUUUGAUCAAUUUCGACCCGCCGGAGGUUCGAUUCCCCCUUAAUGCA